rnacentral:rRNA from 1 species
GACGAACGCUGGCGGCGUGCUUAACACAUGCAAGUCGAGCGAGAGAAAUUCCUUCGGGAAGGACUCUAGCGGCGGACGGGUGAGCAACACGUGGGUAACCUGCCUCAUAGAGGGGAAUAGCCUUUCGAAAGGAAGAUUAAUACCGCAUAAGAUUGUAGUAUCGCAUGAUACAGCAAUUAAAGGAGUAAUCCGCUAUGAGAUGGACCCGCGUCGCAUUAGCUAGUUGGUGAGGUAACGGCUCACCAAGGCGACGAUGCGUAGCCGACCUGAGGGGGUGAUCGGCCACAUUGGGACUGAGACACGGCCCAGACUCCUACGGGAGGCAGCAGUGGGGAAUAUUGCACAAUGGGGGAAACCCUAAUGCAGCAACGCCGCGUGAGUGAUGACGGUCUUCGGAUUGUAAAACUCUGUCUUCAGGGACGAUAAUGACGGUACCUGAGGAGGAAGCCACGGCUAACUACGUGCCAGCCGCCGCCGUAA